rnacentral:lncRNA from 1 species
CUUUCUGCCAUGCCAGGCAUUCUGGUAGUGUUGUGAACUCAGAAACAAAAGAUGCAUUCCCUAGGUAAAGAAGUGACAGCUUAAUGGGAGGCCAAAGAAGGAAGAAUAGAAAAACAACAUUUCUAUUACAGUUGAAGUUGACAGAACCAACCACAGAAACCAGCCUGCCGUGAUACAAGGAGCAACUAUUUGAGCAGAGGAAGAUGCUACUAUGAACCCUUGUUGCCCUAUUUUCCACUCAGUGGCCCUUAUAGAAAGCUGUUUGGGAACAGCAUCAUUAGCGGGUCACUGGAAUCUACAAAGCCACCAUAACCACUACUUUCCAGCUUGCGCCUGUGGUAUCUUCAUGAAUUUUCUGCCAUAAUUGCACUGACCUCUUGCUUUAUCAAACAGACAAGGACAUCUGAUUCUUCCAGCCCUCAGUACUUCUCAGAAAUACAAUCUUCUGACCUGUCUGAAUUUCUCUGGAAGAGAACUUACCAGUCCUCUGGAGCCUGUGACAGCAGCUUAUAAAGGAAAGUAAUAAAAGAAAGUGGAGGUGAACCAUUUUGGGCCCCUUUUCAAGAGGGAGGGUCUGGUGGAGUAUACCAAAGGAAGAACUUCUGGAAGCUUUCCUUUUUUUUUCUCAACAGAGAUUGUUUCUAUAUCCUGUGUUGUGAGUAGAAUGUAGUAGGCACAUUAGAGGCCUUCUUUCUCUUAUUUCAUAUAACUGAGGAUUUUGAUGUAUGGAUGCUAUCUAUGGGGAAGGAGAUAUAUGGCUUUGAAAAACAUAUUUGGAAGCAAAAAUAUUGGGAGCCUGGGCCCAUCUAGAAGUCUGACUCUAAUUGGUAGUCCUCUAAAUGAUGAAAUACCCAAAUUCCCACUUUGGCAUCUCUUGGUUAUUGAUAUUAUUAUAAUAGUGACAGGAGGAGGUUGUUGUCGUAGUCCAUUUAGGCUGCUAUAACAAAAUACCUGAGACUAGGUGAUUUAUAGAUAACAGAAAAUUAUUUUUUACAGUUCUAGAGGCCGGGAAGUCCAAGAUCUAGGUCCUGGCAAAUUCAGUAUCUGGGGAGGGCCUGAUCCAUAAGUGCCACUUUCUUAUGGCAUCCUCUCAUGGUGGAAAAGGCAGAGGGGCAAAUUAAUAAACGAACAAACAAACAAAAAAAAGUGGGGGAAGAGGGAUGAAUGCUGUGUCCUUACAUGGCGAAGACAUAAAAGAGCAAAAGGCACGAGGGCACUCCUUUCAACCUCUUUCAUAAGGUCACUAAUCCUUAAUCGUCUCCUAAAGGCCCUAUCUUUUAGUACUAACUUUUGUGACUAAGUUUCAACAUAUGAAUUCAGGUGGGGAGGCAUGUUUAGACCAUAGCAGUUGCUGAUUUGGAAACUGUAAAAUGGAAAAUAGGAGACAGUCUGUAAAAUUUUGUCUGAGACAGGCAUGAAGCAGCUCAAAGUCUACUCCCACGGUAUCUGCAGGCAUGAGGUAAAAAAGUUUCCCAAGUUUCCAUGGGCCAGCUUGUGCUCAGUCUUUUCUUCAUGGUUGCUGAAAACUUCAGGGAGGCUGUAGGGUGGUGGUGGUGGCAGGGAGUUGUUCUGAUAUCAGGAAUAUAAUGAAGUCAUGUCAUUUUAUAAAACAGCCACUGAGGCAGAGAGGUUAACGGCUUGCUCUCUUUUGUUUUCUCUUGCCAGUUCUGCUCUAUGGCUCAGUAGAAUAGCAAGGAAAGGAGAAAUUCUAUGGGGCUGUGUAUAUUAAGGGUGACAGUAGAGGGGUAGGUGGUUUCCAUAAAGUAGUAUGUAUAAAAAUGAGCUCCUGGGGGUACUGAUAAACAGCAAAGUCAAGAAAAAAAUGGAAAUAGAUUAAGGUUUUCUUUUUGGAAACUAUUAAUAAGAAUGUGCUUUUAGAGAUUAUUUUGAGGCCUCUUUUAUAUUUUCAGAUGCUACUUCUGAUAUUCAUGGUGGAAAUAAAAAAUAUCCUGCCUACAUAUCGCUUUCUUCUUCUCAAAGUUUAAAAGUGGUUUCAUUCAGCUUAUUUACUGGAAUUGUAUGACAUUCUUGUAAAAUGUGCAAGAUGAUUUAAUACCAAUUCCAUUCUGGCAUCAUUAAUGAAAAUAAUAUGAACUUGCAAUGAGAUGGACAGGGGUUUCAAAUCUUAGCUCCAGUUACUAUUUGUAUGACCUUAGCUAGUUAAUAGCACUGUAAAACUCAACUUCAUUUGUUCACUAAGUCUGGCUCUUUCUGUAACUAUCUCAGAGGGUGCUUAUGAGGAUAAAAUGAAAUAACCUAUGUAAAAUGUUGGCCACCAGA